rnacentral:rRNA from 1 species
GAUGAACGCUGGCGGCGUGCUUAACACAUGCAAGUCGAGCGAUGAAGUUUCCUUUGGGAAACGGAUUAGCGGCGGACGGGUGAGUAACACGUGGGUAACCUGCCUCAUAGAGUGGAAUAGCCUUCCGAAAGGAAGAUUAAUACCGCAUAACGUUGAAAGAUGGCAUCAUCAUUUAACCAAAGGAGCAAUCCGCUAUGAGAUGGACCCGCGGCGCAUUAGCUAGUUGGUGGGGUAACGGCCUACCAAGGCGACGAUGCGUAGCCGACCUGAGAGGGUGAUCGGCCACAUUGGGACUGAGACACGGCCCAGACUCCUACGGGAGGCAGCAGUGGGGAAUAUUGCACAAUGGGGGAAACCCUGAUGCAGCAACGCCGCGUGAGUGAUGAAGGUUUUC